GCCCAAACACUUCCUUACCCUGUUUGGAGUCAAUGUGAUGUCAUUAAGCUGUGUUAAAAUUCUAAGUUUAGGGUAAACCUCAUAAGUAUCGAAAACCAAGGUGAGUGCGAAAAAAAUAAUAAGAAGAAAAACGACGAUCGAGAAAAAAAAGAAAAUGAAAUGUAGUCGAUGGUUCGAAAGAAGCACUCAUUGAAGGAAGAGCACUCGAUUGGAAAAAAAAAAGAAUAUCAAAGAAAAAAAUUGAGCAAUUGAAAAAGAAAAGAAGUAAAAUGAACAAACACAGUGAAAAGAAUAUUUACAUUGGC
rnacentral:lncRNA from 1 species